GGGAUCAUUAAAGAGUUUUCUACAACUCCCAAACCCCUGUGAACAUACCUUCUGUUGCCUCGGCAGGCCUCGCCUACCCUCGUAGCCCCCUACACCGUAGGGCCUACGCCGGGUGGUGCGCGGACCCUGCCGGCGGCCCGCGAAACUCUGUUUAGCACUGAAUCUCUGAACAUAUAACUAAAUAAGUUAAAACUUUCAACAACGGAUCUCUUGGUUCUGGCAUCGAUGAAGAACGCAGCGAAAUGCGAUAAGUAAUGUGAAUUGCAGAAUUCAGUGAAUCAUCGAAUCUUUGAACGCACAUUGCGCCCAUUAGUAUUCUAGUGGGCAUGCCUGUUCGAGCGUCAUUUCAACCCUUAAGCCCCUGUUGCUUAGCGUUGGGAGCCUACGGCAGCGUAGCUCCCCAAAGUUAGUGGCGUGGUCGGUUCACACUCCAGACGUAGUAGAUUUUCGUCUCGCCUGUAGUUGGACCGGUCCCCUGCCGUAAAACACCCCAAUUCUAAAAGGUUGACCUCGGAUCAGGUAGGAAUACCCGCUGAACUUA
rnacentral:rRNA from 1 species